GCCUGCGUAGAGCAUAGUGGUUUGUCUGUUGGACUGUGACUCUGGAGACCAGGGUUCGAUUCCCAGCUCUGGUG